rnacentral:rRNA from 1 species
GGCGGACGGGUGAGUAACGCGUGGGUAACCUGCCCUGUACACACGGAUAACAUACCGAAAGGUAUGCUAAUACGGGAUAACAUAAGAAAGUCGCAUGGCUUUCUUAUCAAAGCUUUUACGGUACAGGAUGGACCCGCGUCUGAUUAGCUAGUUGGUAAGGUAACGGCUUACCAAGGCGACGAUCAGUAGCCGACCUGAGAGGGUGAUCGGCCACAUUGGAACUGAGACACGGUCCAAACUCCUACGGGAGGCAGCAGUGGGGAAUAUUGCACAAUGGGCGAAAGCCUGAUGCAGCAACGCCGCGUGAGCGAUGAAGGCCUUCGGGUCGUAAAGCUCUGUCCUCAAGGAAGAUAAUGACGGUACUUGAGGAGGAAGCCCCGGCUAACUACGUGCCAGCAGCCGCGGUAAUACGUAGGGGGCUAGCGUUAUCCGGAAUUACUGGGCGUAAAGGGUGCGUAGGCGGUCUUUCAAGUCAGAAGUGAAAGGCUACGGCUCAACCGUAGUAAGCUUUUGAAACUGUAAGACUUGAGUGCAGGAGAGGAGAGUGGAAUUCCUAGUGUAGCGGUGAAAUGCGUAGAUAUUAGGAGGAACACCAGUUGCGAAGGCGGCUCUCUGGACUG